UCCCUGCCCAUGGCAGGGGGUGGGAUGGGAUGAGCUUUAAGGUCCCUUCCAACCCAAACCAUUCCAUGAUUCCAUGACUCUGUGAUGUGUCUUGGAUGCAGCCAAGGGUCACCACACCACUGCUGCUGCAUCACAGAGGCUUCCAAGUGGAGUGAAUUGGCAGUCAAGAGCCAGUGGAUGUGUCCAGGGAUUCAGCACUUUGGGCUUGCAAAACAAUCCCAGAGAGCACCAGAGGGAUGGGAAGGAGGAUGGCAAUGAAGAAUGAGGUAAAAACCGGGAGAAGAGCAAGGACACAGAGGAGAACAAGGGAAAAUGCAGAGGGGAGAGAGGAGGAGACCUGCAGAAGGCAGAGCAGCUUUGCCUCUCUGGCUGCACGAGUACAUCAGAGGAAGGAAAGGAGCCAGGUUAUGAAAGAAGACAAGAACUUGUCAGGAAACUUGAAGCAGAAGAUUCAAACAAUAAAGCCAUUCCCAGCUCUGUGGCUGCACUGACACCUCUUGAGCCCUGACCCUGGCACAAAACACUCGAUGCCUUGAAGAUGGUUGGCAGGUUUUGAGAACCACUGAAUCCAUUUGAGAACCAUUAAACCCAGGACUCCUGCCUAGAAGAUAUCCCAGCUGGGCCAAACAUAGGGAAAUACAAGAAUUCAGUGGAACAAAGCAGUGGCUUCAGUUUAAUAUUCUCUUUGUCUACAAAGAGGCCCUAAGAGGACUUCAAUAAAGAGCUGAAAAGCAAA